rnacentral:tmRNA from 1 species
GGGGGCGACCGGUUUCGACGGGAUGGUUGAACCCCAAGUGGCGCGCCGAGGAAUCCUGCUUGGCCUCGUUAAUCAUGCGGGAAAAACAAAAACUGCCAACGAUAACUUGGCUCUCGCGGCUUAAUUAAUGCCGCAGCGCGGACCCCCUGACAUCCGCUGAGGGGUGCACCGCGAAAAACCAGCGGGUCCUGUCAGAGUCCGGGUGGCCGGGGCACUGAGCUUGUAAAAUCGUGGCUGCUGGCGGUGGGGAGAGGUUGCCUGUGAUCGAACCCCAACGUGAGAUUAAAUUACAGGACACGCGCGUAGAAGCUUGGAUGAUGUCAUUUCGGACGGGGGUUCAACUCCCCCCGCCUCCACCA